GGCCUUUUGGCUAAGACCGAGUGUAGUAU
rnacentral:snRNA from 1 species